rnacentral:lncRNA from 1 species
CUCCCUGCUACCAGUACUACAGUGAGGUUUCCUGGUUGAAUGUUCUGUUGUAGAAGAAUGCAACUGAGUUUUCUAAACAGAUCUUCUUCUUGACAUCCUUGCUGAACGAGAGCAAAGGAGACAGCUGGGAGCAGAUGGGCAAAUCCCAGUUUGCCCAAAGAAAUGUCUAUUUUCCAAGGGGCAUGAAGAAUUUAGGAAUAAAGCAGAUCUGAUUUCUAAUUCUGACUUUGCUACUGGCAAAUUGUGUGGACUCAGGAAAGUGACCGGCCCUCUUUAAGACUCAGUGUGCUUACCUCUGAAAUGGAGCUGUCAAUCACAUCUGCCUCACAGGCUUGUUCUGAGGAUGAAGUGAGAAAAUGCCCACGAGGUGCUGGUUGCAGCAGCUGGUGCAUAGAGCUUAAAAAGGAUGCAGUCCCAAAACAUAGAAGGAUUUACUCCAGAUCCAAGCAAUGAGUCAGGAACAGAAAGCCUGAUGCCCUCACCUGGAACUCUCCCUCCUCCCUGGAUGAGGACCUUCCCCAGAAUUGCAGGGCACCCACACAAGACCAAGCAAGUUCAGAGAAAAUUGAAACCUGACUUUAGAGCCUCUGGGAUGUUCACUACACCUCAUUGAACCUGUUUGGUUCACAGAGCUCCAACUACCGUCUACUUCCUGCAACUGGCCUGCUGCCAACUCCCCAGAUCUCUUGUGGAGCUGCCGGAAGAGACAGCCUGCCACAGAAGAAAGCAGCCCUCCUCUUUCAUGGCCUCCCACAUCUUGAAACAAACACAAGCAAACAAAACAAAAGCUUGAGUCCCAGCCUGAUUCACCAGGUUUGGUUCCCAAUUGUUGAAAUUCCCUUCCCAGGGCUCUCAGAACCAGGGUUGGCUGGAGGGGUGAAAGAGGCUGGCCCUGAGCCCAGUAAUAGGACACCAAGGGGGAGCUAAAAGCUGGGAUCUGGGGUGAAGAUGGGGUCUUCCAAGCUGGGAGGCAGACACCAGGCCAGAGCAACCGGCCUGCCCCAGCUCAGGCCUCUUAACCCAUGCAGGGCAAGAGUAUAAACAGAGGCCACGGACCACAUGCCUCAGUAUUUAAACUUAUAAAUCAAGCUAACAUAACAUGAAAUCAAAUAUGUUCUAUCCUCCUAGCUUGACAAAUACUUUCAUAACGAGAUGGAAUGCCAGGUUCAGAUUUAGAAUUUUCACACUCCUUAAAGUUCCAAGUCAAAAUACAGCAUUAGGGGAGGGCCCCCAACCUCGAGGUCUCCCCUCCCCCAUUUUCUUUCACUCCCAGCUCUGUCUCACACCACGAGGGAUCUUGGGUGAAUGCCCCUCGAUACCCCAGCCCCCCACAAACAGCUGCCCUUUCCCCCCUUGGCCAAGGGUAAGCACAGCAGCAGGGCAGUCUGCCCUUGGCUGGAGAGAUGGAAGGAGAGGCCACACGGGCCCUGAAAAUGCAUUUGGGGACUCUUGGGCAGGAAACUUGGGAGUUUCUGGAGCCUCAAGGAGGGUCUAGUGGGACAGAGCCACUUGGGCCCAUGAGAUCCUUGACCCAUGGAGAAGGGUAGGGCUAGAGGAGGGCCAGGGCAGGCCCUAUGAACAGAAGAACCUAGAGUAACUGCCCUGUCCCCAGAUCCUGUCACCGAGCAGGUAUACUUGGGAGGGUAUUGGAGGGUGGAACCCAAGGGAGCUUGCCCAAGGCACUAGGAAAGAAAAGUGUAAACCUUGUUAGAGAAUGCUAAGGAUAGCUGUUAAAGCCUCAGAGAUUUUACUCAUUUUUGGCUGUUUCUAAAAAUCUUCCCCCAAAGGAAGAUCUUGCUCUCAUUGAGGAUCUGAGAAAGAAUUCUCUCCAAGUAGUUUCAAAACAUUCUGAUGUAAAAACUCUGGUGUGUUAGUCAAAAAUAAAUUUUGUUGCUUGAUGGCUUCACCAUUCACAAAAUAUUCUAUCCAUCCAAUUUAAAAAUAAGAGCAGGGUAUUUAAAACUCUUUCAAUAAACACAAAUUAAAACAAUGAAGCUUG